CUGCAAUCUCAGUUAAAAUCAAAGCUGUGCCUCGCUGCUUGGUGUGGAAGAGCCUGAGGCAAACUGGAUCAUCAGCACGGUUUUUGAAAUGUUCUUGGAGGAGCCACUGGAGUCAGCACCGGUGAGGAGCAGAGGAGGCGGCAGCUCGGCUCACAACCGAGGAGCCUCAAGGAAGAAAUUUAAAUGGUUGACUUUUAACUGAAGAAUGGGCUUGAUUUUAAAAUACAUCACAUUCAUCUGUUAGCAGUCAGGGGCCUCAUGAACCCUAGAGCCUGGCUCUUAACAUGAGAAAAAUGGGAGGCUAAAGAAGAUGCAACAAGUUCUAUAAAAUAUUGAAACUGAAGUACUGGAGCUACAGAUUCCCUCCAACUGAAACCACAGUGGAUAUACAUUCAUGAUGACUAAUUCUGUACUACUGCAGAGUCUGGAUGCAGAAAUGGGUUUUUCCUGAAGUCUGAAAUCUCUGAGUUAGUGAAGAUCUAAAUUUAUUUUUUUGUUUUCUUUAAGAAUUUUCCAUUUGUGAAGAUGCCUAAUGAUCUCCUGUGGGACUAUAUAUUAGAACAAUUUUCUUAAAAUUACUCAAAGUAAGAGGACAGAAGAUGAUGCCUCUGGAAUAAAUGAAUAAACUUCCUUUAUAAAUAAAUAA